CCUACGGGAGGCAGCAGUGGGGAAUAUUGGACAAUGGGCGAAAGCCUGAUCCAGCAAUGCCGCGUGAGUGAUGAAGGCCUUAGGGUUGUAAAGCUCUUUUACCCGGGAUGAUAAUGACAGUACCGGGAGAAUAAGCCCCGGCUAACUCCGUGCCAGCAGCCGCGGUAAUACGGAGGGGGCUAGCGUUGUUCGGAAUUACUGGGCGUAAAGCGCACGUAGGCGGUUAUUCAAGUCAGAGGUGAAAGCCUGGAGCUCAACUCCAGAACUGCCUUUGAAACUAGAUAACUAGAAUCAUGGAGAGGUGAGUGGAAUUCCGAGUGUAGAGGUGAAAUUCGUAGAUAUUCGGAAGAACACCAGUGGCGAAGGCGGCUCACUGGACAUGUAUUGACGCUGAGGUGCGAAAGCGUGGGGAGCAAACAGGAUUAGAUGCCCUGGUAGUCCACGCCGUAAACGAUGAUAACCUAGUUGUCGGGGCUCUUAGAGCUUCGGUGACGCAGCUAACGCAUUAAGUUAUCCGCCUGGGGAGUACGGUCGCAAGNUUAAAACUCAAAGGAAUUGACGGCUGAGAGNGCGAGCGACACGAGGGAGAG
rnacentral:rRNA from 1 species